CGCAGCUAACGCAUUAAAGCUAUAGUACCGCCUGGGGAGUACGGUCGCAAGAUUAAAACUCAAAGGAAUUGACGGGGGCCCGCACAAGCGGUGGAGGAUGUGGUUUAAUUCGAAGCAACGCGCAAAACCUUACCACCCCUUGACAUGCCUGGAACGCCCAAGAAAAUUGGAUUUUCCUUCCGGAAAAACGAAACACAGGUGCUGCAUGGCUGUCCUCCUCUCGUGUCGUGAUAUGUUGGGUUAACUCCCGCAACGAGCGCAACCCUCGCCUUUAUUUGCUAUCAUUUGUGUGGCCACUCAAAGGGCAGUGGAUGUGAUGGAGGAGAGGAGUGAGGAUAUCACGUCAUCUCCUCCCGGCCCUUAGGGGCUGCGCUACACAUGUGAUACUGGGGACGUAAGAGGGGUAAGCCAGGAAGGGUGUCUAAUCUCAUAUUGACGACCGAACUCCGGAUGGAUUGCGGUAUGUCGACUGGGUGAAUGAGGUAGGAAUCGCUAGUACUCAUCGAUCUGUGGGCCUGAAUACAUUCCCUGCCCGUG
rnacentral:rRNA from 1 species